rnacentral:rRNA from 1 species
UACGAAGGGGGCUAGCGUUGUUCGGAAUUACUGGGCGUAAAGCGCGCGCAGGCGGUCCUCCAAGUCAGCUGUGAAAGCCCCGGGCUUAACCUGGGAAUGGCGGUUGAAACUACAGGACUAGAAUCUGGCAGAGGGGGGUGGAAUUCCACGUGUAGCAGUGAAAUGCGUAGAGAUGUGGAGGAACACCGAUGGCGAAGGCAGCCCCCUGGGCUGAGAUUGACGCUCAGGCACGAAAGCGUGGGGAGCAAACAGG